GGAUUAGAUACCCUGGUAGUCCACGCCGUAAACGAUGAGUACUAGCUAUACUGGGUGUUGACCCCCGGUGUGGCGUAGCUAACGCGUUAAGUACUCCGCCUGGGGACUACGGCCGCAAGGUUAAAACUCAAAGGAAUUGACGGGGGCCCGCACAAGCGGUGGAGCAUGUGGUUUAAUUCGACGCGACGCGAAGAACCUUACCCGGCCUUGACAUCCUUCGAAUCCCUCCGAAAAGAGGGAGUGCCCUUCGGGGAGCGGAGUGACAGGUGCUGCAUGGCUGUCGUCAGCUCGUGUCG
rnacentral:rRNA from 1 species